UUGAUCUCAAAUCAGGUAGGACUACCCGCUGAACUUAAGCAUAUCAAUAAGCGGAGGAAAAGAAACUAACAAGGAUUCCCCUAGUAACUGCGAGUGAAGCGGGAAGAGCUCAAAUUUAAAAUUCUGGCGUGCG
rnacentral:rRNA from 1 species